rnacentral:lncRNA from 1 species
UUCACAUUGUCUCUACCAUUGUACCUAUAUCUGUCAUCUCGCCUGUCUCCCUCCUUAAUGUAAUACCGUUCCCGAUUUAUAUCACCUCUUUCACUCUCCCAAUCUCUUUUUCUCUCACCACCCCUUGUUCUAUCUGUACUCCUAUCUCUCUCCUUUCCUCUUCUCCGGUCCCUCUCAUAUACUGCCUCCAGGCUCCUAUCUCCUUCCUGUUCUUGUCUCAUAUCCCUAACCUCCUCCCUUUCCCUGAUCUUAACUUUUUCAACGUCCCUUCUAUUCCUCUCCUUGCUCCUUCCACGCUCCUUCUCCAUUCUACGCACCCAUUCAACCUCCCUAUUCCUGUUUGUUUCCCCUCGCUUGCUCUCCCUGUGUAAGUCUCUAUCCCUAUCA